GAUGAACGCUGGCGGCGUGCUUAACACAUGCAAGUCGAACGGACAGGCCCUGCUUUUGUGGGGUGCUCGAGUGGCGAACGGGUGAGUAACACGUGAGUAACCUGCCCUUGACUUUGGGAUAACUUCAGGAAACUGGGGCUAAUACCGGAUAGGAUCUCCUGCUGCAUGGUGGGGGUUGGAAAGUUUCGGCGGUUGGGGAUGGACUCGCGGCUUAUCAGCUUGUUGGUGGGGUAGUGGCUUACCAAGGCUGCGACGGAUAGCCGGCCUGAGAGGUGGAACGGCGACAUGGGGACUGAGAUACGGCGCAGACGCCUACGGGAGGCAGCAGUGGGGAAUAUGGCACAAUGGGCGGAAGCCUGAUGCAGCAACGCCGCGUGCGGGAUAACGGGCUACUGGUGGAGAACCGAUUUCGCAGGUGACGAAGAGUGAGUGACGGUAAUGGGUAAAGAAGCACCGGCUAACUACGUG
rnacentral:rRNA from 1 species